UCUGGUAUUGAUUGGUGCUUGCAUCAUGAUUUACAUUUGAGUGAGUGGCGAACUGGUGAGUAACACGUGGGAAACCUGCCCAGAAGCGGGGGAUAACACCUGGAAACAGAUGCUAAUACCGCAUAACAACUUGGACCGCAUGGUCCGAGUUUGAAAGAUGGCUUCGGCUAUCACUUUUGGAUGGUCCCGCGGCGUAUUAGCUAGAUGGUGGGGUAACGGCUCACCAUGGCAAUGAUACGUAGCCGACCUGAGAGGGUAAUCGGCCACAUUGGGACUGAGACACGGCCCAAACUCCUACGGGAGGCAGCAGUAGGGAAUCUUCCACAAUGGACGAAAGUCUGAUGGAGCAACGCCGCGUGAGUGAAGAAGGGUUUCGGCUCGUAAAACUCUGUUGUUAAAGAAGAACAUAUCUGAGAGUAACUGUUCAGGUAUUGACGGUAUUUAACCAGAAAGCCACGGCUAACUACGUGCCAGCAGCCGCGGUAAUACGUAGGUGGCAAGCGUUGUCCGGAUUUAUUGGGCGUAAAGCGAGCGCAGGCGGUUUUUUAAGUCUGAUGUGAAAGCCUUCGGCUCAACCGAAGAAGUGCAUCGGAAACUGGGAAACUUGAGUGCAGAAGAGGACAGUGGAACUCCAUGUGUAGCGGUGAAAUGCGUAGAUAUAUGGAAGAACACCAGUGGCGAAGGCGGCUGUCUGGUCUGUAACUGACGCUGAGGCUCGAAAGUAUGGGUAGCAAACAGGAUUAGAUACCCUGGUAGUCCAUACCGUAAACGAUGAAUGCUAAGUGUUGGAGGGUUUCCGCCCUUCAGUGCUGCAGCUAACGCAUUAAGCAUUCCGCCUGGGGAGUACGGCCGCAAGGCUGAAACUCAAAGGAAUUGACGGGGGCCCGCACAAGCGGUGGAGCAUGUGGUUUAAUUCGAAGCUACGCGAAGAACCUUACCAGGUCUUGACAUACUAUGCAAAUCUAAGAGAUUAGACGUUCCCUUCGGGGACAUGGAUACAGGUGGUGCAUGGUUGUCGUCAGCUCGUGUCGUGAGAUGUUGGGUUAAGUCCCGCAACGAGCGCAACCCUUAUUAUCAGUUGCCAGCAUUAAGUUGGGCACUCUGGUGAGACUGCCGGUGACAAACCGGAGGAAGGUGGGGAUGACGUCAAAUCAUCAUGCCCCUUAUGACCUGGGCUACACACGUGCUACAAUGGAUGGUACAACGAGUUGCGAACUCGCGAGAGUAAGCUAAUCUCUUAAAGCCAUUCUCAGUUCGGAUUGUAGGCUGCAACUCGCCUACAUGAAGUCGGAAUCGCUAGUAAUCGCGGAUCAGCAUGCCGCGGUGAAUACGUUCCCGGGCCUUGUACACACCGCCCGUCACACCAUGAGAGUUUGUAACACCCAAAGUCGGUGGGGUA
rnacentral:rRNA from 2 species